rnacentral:rRNA from 1 species
CUUGCCAUCAGAUGUGCCCAGAUGGGAUUAGCUUGUUGGUGAGGUAACGGCUCACCAAGGCGACGAUCCCUAGCUGGUCUGAGAGGAUGACCAGCCACACUGGAACUGAGACACGGUCCAGACUCCUACGGGAGGCAGCAGUGGGGAAUAUUGCACAAUGGGCGCAAGCCUGAUGCAGCCAUGCCGCGUGUAUGAAGAAGGCCUUCGGGUUGUAAAGUACUUUCAGCGGGGAGGAAGGUGUUGUGGUUAAUAACCGCAGCAAUUGACGUUACCCGCAGAAGAAGCACCGGCUAACUCCGUGCCAGCAGCCGCGGUAAUACGGAGGGUGCAAGCGUUAAUCGGAAUUACUGGGCGUAAAGCGCACGCAGGCGGUCUGUCAAGUCGGAUGUGAAAUCCCCGGGCUCAACCUGGGAACUGCAUUCGAAACUGGCAGGCUUGAGUC